UACGUAGGACCCAAGCGUUAUCCGGAUUUACUGGGUGUAAAGAGUUGCGUAGGUGGCUCGUAAAGUGAAUAGUGAAAGCUGGUCGCUCAACGAUCAAAACAUUAUUCAAACUCACGAGCUCGAGAGUGAUAGAGGUUACUAGAAUUUCUUGUGUAGGAGUGAAAUCCGUAGAUAUAAGAAGGAAUACCAAUGGCGUAGGCAGGUAACUAGAUCAUUUCUGACACUAAGGCACGAAAGCGUGGGGAGCGAACCGG
rnacentral:rRNA from 1 species